UACGUAGGGUGCAGGCGUUAAUCGGAAUUACUGGGCGUAAAGCGUGCGCAGGCGGUUUCUUAAGUCAGAUGUGAAAGCCCCGGGCUUAACCUGGGAACUGCGUUUGAAACUGGGAGACUUGAGUGUGGCAGAGGGGGGUGGAAUUCCACGUGUAGCAGUGAAAUGCGUAGAUAUGUGGAGGAACACCGAUGGCGAAGGCAGCCCACUGGGUUAACACUGACGCUCAUGCACGAAAGCGUGGGGAGCAAACAGG
rnacentral:rRNA from 1 species